CACGGGGCCUGCAGCCACACCCGUUUCCCGAACCAGGGGGUGGAGGAGCUUGUGUGUGGGGGCAAGGUCCUUCCAUUCCUGUUAGUUGAUCUUUUCCUGAGCACUGGCAUAAAGGAUGGCUGGCCACUUGGAUGCUUCUCACAAACCUGGACCAUAAGGCAUGCAAGUGUAAGAAAUAUGAGGUCAUGGGAGCCUAUAUAAGGUUCCAGAAGAAGCUAACAAGGCCAAGGAAUGUGUAGCAGGACUGGAGUGCCUGCAGGGAGGCCCUAAGGACACAGUGAAUGAAGCUGUGAUGGCAAACUCCAGCUUCAGUAGAAACCCCAGACGUUGCCAAGAAUGGAUCAUCUACUGAGGAAGCCGCAGACACCAAGUGGACCACGAAGGAUGCUGUGCAUGCUGCUGUCAGGUGAAUAAUCUCAAUCUCCGAAUAUGGGCUCUUCUGGCCUUCCUCUCCCUACACUUUCUCCAGCGCCUUUGGCCUCUACACAGUGACUAGCAAUGGAGAUGGAGAGGAAGAAGGUCCAGACGGCUGAGCACUGCAAAUGGUGACAGCAUGCAAGUGUGGAUUCUGUGCAUGCAUCUUUCAACUUUCCAGCAAGGCUGAAGCCAAUGGAACAGCUCAAACUACUUCUGCACUGCUCUCUCUGUAGGCCACAUUGACUAUCUGUAUUCAUUCCUUAUUUUCAAAAUCAUACCUAUAUUCGACAUCAUCUCAACUGAAAUACAAGAAAGAAAAAUAACUCUUUAAAGUUUCUUUUCAAUACAUUGCCAAUAUUUUGAAAUUUUGUUUAACAGCUUUGAUUAUAAAGUGGCUGUUGAGUAAACAGAGCACAG
rnacentral:lncRNA from 1 species